CCUACGGGAGGCAGCAGUGAGGAAUAUUGGACAAUGGGCGCAAGCCUGAUCCAGCCAUGCCGCGUGCAGGAUGACGGUCCUAUGGAUUGUAAACUGCUUUUGUACAGGAAGAAACAGUUCUACGUGUAGAACCUUGACGGUACUGUAAGAAUAAGGAUCGGCUAACUUCGUGCCAGCAGCCGCGGUAAU
rnacentral:rRNA from 1 species